rnacentral:tRNA from 1 species
AUUAUAUUGGCAGAGUUAAUGCAUUAGAAUUAGAAUCUAAUUAACUAAGUAUUU